CAGUCGCCACGGUAAUACGGAGGGUGCAAGCGUUGUCCGGAUUUAUUGGGUUUAAAGGGUGCGUAGGCGGCUAUUUAAGUCAGCGGUGAAAGACUCCGGCUCAACCGGAGCAGUGCCAUUGAUACUGGAUAGCUUGAGUGUUGGAGGGGUACAUGGAAUUGAUGGUGUAGCGGUGAAAUGCAUAGAUACCAUCAGGAACACCGAUAGCGAAGGCAUUGUACUGGCCAACAACUGACGCUGAGGCACGAAAGCGUGGGGAGCGAACAGGAUUAGAGACCCCAGUAGUCCCUGUCUCUUAUAC
rnacentral:rRNA from 1 species